AAUAGAUACCCGGGUAGUCCACGCCGUAAACUAUGGAUGCUAGCUGUUAGAAGUAUCGACCCUUCUAGUAGCGAAGCUAACGCGUUAAGCAUCCCGCCUGUGGAGUACGAGCGCAAGCUUAAAACAUAAAGGAAUUGACGGGGACCCGCACAAGCGGUGGAGCGUGUUGUUUAAUUCGAUGAUAAGCGAAGAACCUUACCCAGGCUUGACAUCCUUGGAAUUUUGCCGAAAGGCGAGAGUGCUUUUAGAGCCAAGUGACAGGUGAUGCAUGGCCGUCGUCAGCUCGUGUCGUGAGAUGUUUGGUUAAGUCCAUCAACGAGCGCAACCCUUGUAGUUAGUUGUAUUUUUCUAGCUAGACUGCCCUGGUAACAGGGAGGAAGGAGGGGAUGAUGUCAGGUCAGUAUUUCCCUUACGUCUGGGGCUACAAACACGCUACAAUGGCCGGUACAAAGCGCAGCCAACCCGCGAGGGGGAGCAAAUCGCAUCAAAGCCGGUCUCAGUUCGGAUUGCAGGCUGAAACUCGCCUGCA
rnacentral:rRNA from 1 species